AAAAAAUAAACAACAAUAUCGCAAUAAAAUUUAAUCAUAAAACUAAACACCCACUGAAAUUAAAACACAAACUCAAAGCUGCAACAUUAUCCAAAGUCAGAACACAAUCGCAACAUACAGCAAUACGAAAACAAACUCAAACUAAACAAUGUUGAAGUUGUCACUGCCCUUGCCGCCGUUACCGCAAAUAUUUAUGUUGUUGCCUGAGUUUGCUGUUGUUGUUGCCAAACAGAGCUGAGUUUAGAUCGUUACUGUGUCGUUGCAGAGAAGGGAGUGAAGCGUGCUUCUGAGUUGAAAAUUUUCUUGAACUGAAACUUUGAGCAAUGGAUGAAACUUACAGGUAGUGGCAUUCACAGUUUGACGGUUAUUUGGAUGGAGGCCGGCAACGGAAAAAUGGAACAUGGAAGUGGAGGAUUUGAAGUUGUUAUUAUCGCUUGGAAGAGAAUAUGGACGAAAGGUUGAGGGUGUUAGAGAUGGUGGUUCAUUUUAGUUUACCAGCGGUUGGGUUGAAUGCAAGGCGGAGGUAAUUAUUAUGGUGUCGUGGAGGUUAAAGAAGCAACACAGGUUAAGCAGUAGGAAAUGAGUGAUGCGCGUGUUUGAUGAUGCAGAAAGGCGGAGAUGUGGUGGUUAAGAGGAUACAUCCGACGGCAGAGAAUGGAGUUAAGGUGAUGAAACACCGUGAUUAAGGGUGUUCGGAACAAGAGAAACAAAAAGGGAGUGUUUAUGGUUGUGCUCCGGUGGGUUGAAAGAAGGAGGUAAGUGGUGGGUUGUUCUGUCAGUGACGGUGGUUUCUAUGGUGGUGUUGGAAGCUGCGAGUGGUGGAGGAAACAUAGGGAGUGACCGGAGAUCCAAGGAGAGUGAAGAGAGGUUUUUCUCCUCUCAGUUGUUGCAUGUUCCAG
rnacentral:lncRNA from 1 species